rnacentral:rRNA from 1 species
CUGGCGGCGUGCUUAACACAUGCAAGUCGAACGAGAGUUACUUUGAAUGAGUUUUCGGACGAAUGAAAGGUAAUGAAAGUGGCGAACGGGUGAGUAACACGUGAGCAACCUGCCUUACACAGGGGGAUAGCCAUUGGAAACGGUGAUUAAUACCCCAUAAGACCACAAUACCGCAUGGUAAAAGGGUAAAAGGGAUACCGGUGUAAGAUGGGCUCGCGUCUGAUUAGCUAGUUGGUGGGGUAAAGGCCUACCAAGGCGACGAUCAGUAGCCGGUCUGAGAGGAUGAACGGCCACAUUGGAACUGAGACACGGUCCAAACUCCUACGGGAGGCAGCAGUGGGGAAUAUUGCACAAUGGGGGAAACCCUGAUGCAGCGACGCCGCGUGAGCGAAGAAGGCUUUCGAGUCGUAAAGCUCUGUCCUAUGAGAAGAUAAUGACGGUAUCAUAGGAGGAAGCCCGGCUAAA